UACGAAGGGUGCAAGCGUUAGUCGGAAUUACUGGGCGUAAAACGUGCGUAGGCGGUUUCUUAAGUCUGCCGUGAAAGCCCCGGGCUCAACCUGGGAAUGGCGGUGGAUACUGGGAAGCUGGAGUGCGGUAGAGGAGGGUGGAAUUCCCGGUGUAGCGGUGAAAUGCGUAGAGAUCGGGAGGAACAUCAGUGGCGAAGGCGGCCCUCUGGACCAGCACUGACGCUGAGGCACGAAAGCGUGGGGAGCGAACAGG
rnacentral:rRNA from 1 species